rnacentral:rRNA from 1 species
CUACGGGGCGCUGCAGUGGGGAAUCUUAGACAAUGGGGGCAACCCUGAUCUAGCCAUGCCGCGUGAGUGAUGAAGGCCUUAGGGUCGUAAAGCUCUUUCGCCUGUGAUGAUAAUGACAGUAGCAGGUAAAGAAACCCCGGCUAACUCCGUGCCAGCAGCCGCGGUAAUACGGAGGGGGUUAGCGUUGUUCGGAAUUACUGGGCGUAAAGCGCGCGUAGGCGGAUUAGAAAGUUGGGGGUGAAAUCCCGGGGCUCAACCUCGGAACUGCCUCCAAAACUGCUAGUCUAGAGUUCGAGAGAGGUGAGUGGAAUUCCGAGUGUAGAGGUGAAAUUCGUAGAUAUUCGGAGGAACACCAGUGGCGAAGGCGGCUCACUGGCUCGAUACUGACGCUGAGGUGCGAAAGUGUGGGGAGCAAACAGGAUUAGAUACCCGCGUAGUC